UACGGAGGGUGCAAGCGUUGUUCGGAAUCACUGGGCGUAAAGGGCGUGUAGGCGGUCCGCUAAGUCUGAUGUGAAAGCCCGGGGCUCACCCCCGGAAGGGCAUUGGAAACUGGCGGACUCGAGUCUCGGAGAGGAAGGUGGAAUUCCUGGUGUAGCGGUGAAAUGCGUAGAUAUCGUUUGGAACGCCAAUGGUGAAAACAGCUCGCUGGGGGUGUGCUGACGCUGAGACACGAAAGCGUGGGGAGCAAACAGG
rnacentral:rRNA from 1 species